GCGGAUCUAUAUGCUUCGGAAAGAAUAUUGCUUGUAUUGUUAUCUGCCGGUGGUAGGGAUGUGUUGGGUGAUUCUGGAGAAAUCAAGGUUUCACCUGAUUCCGGGAUCGGCAAAGUACUAAAUGCACUGGUGCAUCUGGAAGAACCUAAUGAGGUGCUUGUACCUUCUAUAUUUGACACUCUGGAACGAGUCAAAAUUUGCUGAAUUUCAGCUUGAGCCGUGACGGCCGCUAAAACGGGCAACUUAUUUAAUUGUGCAGCUACGCUCUUCCCGAAAAUAUCGAAUUCAUUUUCAGAUGAUUCCGUAGAUUGUAGAUCUCGAAUAGACGUCGUUAAAGAAUUUAAGUCUUUGAUGCAACCAGCAACUUCUUUAAUCUUGGACUUCGCUGCCUUAUGGCGUUUUGGAGUAGGUUCAUUAAUAGCUCCACUAACAUUCGCUUUUAUUACCUCUGCUGCUAAUGGUACUUCUUCGUGUGUUGCCUCUUCAACUUCAUCUUCUACUUGUAAUGUAUUCGAUCCAUUAUAUGUUUCUGAAGCCUAGAAAAUAUCUCAUAUUCACACAUUUGGCAUAAUAAGAAAUUAUUUAGUAUUUUUUAUUUUAGGUACCAAAAAGUAACAAAGAAUGGAAAGCUAUCGAAAGUGAUUUCAACCAUAGAUGGAAUUUUCCAGGAUGUUAUGGUGCCAUUGAUGGAAAACACAUACUUAUUCGAGCUCCUGAGAAUUGUGGCAGUAACUUUUUCAACUAUAAGGGACAAAACAGUAUUAUUUUGAUGGCAAUUGUAGACGGAAAUUACAAUUUUAUAUACAUUGAUGUUGGCUACAAUGGAAGAGCCUCAGAUGGAGGAGUUUUUGCGCAGUGUUCUAUUUUUGCUGCUUUAGAAAAGAAUAUAUUACCGGAUGGUGGAUUUCUUGUUGGAGACGACGCUUUUCCGUUAAAGCAUUAUUUACUUAAACCAUAUUCAAAGAAUGCACUUACUGUUGAUGAAAAAAUCUUCAAUUAUAGAUUGUCUCGUGCAAGAAGAAUUGUGGAAAAUGGUUUUGGUAUUUUAGUGUCUAGUUUUUGAGAAACCCAUAGCUUGUGGACUAUCAUCAGUGGAUAAAAUAGUCAGAACAUGUUGUGCCCUACAUAACUGGCUUAGAUGCACUACUGUAAAUGAAUAUUUGCCAAAGGGAUCCGUUGACGAAGAAGAUAUCGAUCAAGGUAAAAUUAUUCUUGGAAGUUGGAGGUCAGAAGUAGCUGGUUUGCCAUCAGUUUCACGUAUAGGAAGUAAUCAUUCUUCACAAUUUGCAAGAAAUUUAAGGGAUAAAUAUAAACACUAUUUUAUGACUACAGGGGCCGUUUCAUGGCAGGAACGAAUGAUUUUUUAAUUUCAUUUUAAUAUAUUUUGUAUUCAAUUACUAAUAUAGGUACAUAUAAUAAAAAAUAUAUAGUAGCUUCUUACUUACCAAAUUACUGCAUGUUACCCUUCUCUUAUCCAUUGUUUGUAAAAACAUAUGCAUAACUGAAAACCACUUCAUUUUUGGUUUAUAUAUUUCUAUAUAUGCUACCUCUUGUACAUACGUCGACCUUAGAGUUUUUAUUUUGUUUUUUACAUCUAUUGGGCCAAAAUUCUCGAUUUCCAUUGUUUCCACAAUUCUUUCUAUAGCCGACUCACGGGCUUGUUUAUUUCUAUAGAUUACCAACUGUGUAUUCCAAAGGCACUCUUCCUCCCUAUAUAAUUCUACAAACUUUACUGUGGUAUCUUCAGUCCAUUUUGCGCACAUUUUGAAUAAUAAUAACACCUACACUUUAAAACAAUUACUAAAACUACGUACUGAUUUAUUUACUAAAAUCGAACGCUGGAAUCAUCGUGUCUACACAGGUUUAGUUAAGAGGAUAGUGAGAGUGGGGGUAACCACUUGCUCCAGUAAAUAGAAAUGCUUUCUAUUCACUGUACUGGAAUCGUUACUAAAAUCAGUACUGGAAUUUAGUAUUGGAAUAUAUGUUUACACAAAGCAAGUACUAAAAUCCAGUGCUGGAUUUUUGUAACUUGUUCAAGUCACUGGCAUCGUGUAAACCCCCCUUUACGAUAUAUUGGAAAUCGUGGUAUAUCAGACACGUUGGUUCUCGUCGGAUGUUAAAUAAUCGUAACGACCAAAUUAAAUAAGUUUUUUAACCCUCCUCAUGGAAAGCGGACGUGUUUUUAGUGUGUUUUGUUGUUAUACUGUUAUUUAUUUAUCCUAAAAAUGUCUAGAGGCUUACGGUGUCUGAAUUUGUGUAUUAAAAGUAAAGAAACUGUUGAAACCCUGAAAUUGCGACUCACAAACGAAGAUAUUUCCGAAGGAACAACAAUGUUUCAAAAGGUACGUUAUUUUAAAAUUAAAUUCGCGUAAUAAUGAUAAAUUAAAAAAAUUAAUUAACUAAAUUAAUGUUGUUCAAUUAACAAACGGUGCCAUUUUAUUAUUGUAAAUAAUUAUAAAUUUUUAGACGUUGGCGGUACUCCCACAAACAAAGGGAGACGAAUCUAAAGAUGCUCCAGACCCCAUGACUAUUCUUGGCAAUGUUAAUAACAAUGCUUUUUUAGAGCAAAAUCCAGAACUAUCCUUUCAACCCAAGCCUGAUUAAGAAAUUAUUGUUAAUAAAUUAGCGGGACAUGAAGCUACGGUACAUUCACAAACAAACGGAGACGAACCUAAAAAUGAUCCAGAAACCAUUAUGACCUACACUAUUCUCGAAAAUGUUAUUGACAGUGUUAUUUCUGAGCAAAAUCCAGAGUUAUCUCUGCAACCCAAAGGUGAUCAAGAAGUUAUUAUCAAUGAACCAUUAGCAGGAGGAGCUGCUGAAACUAUCGACCUUGAUAAAGACAACAUCCCUAUUAUUAUUAUACAACCAAAUGGAACAGUUGUUUCUAAUGAGGAAAAUAGUAUUGCCAUGAAUUCAUUCAGUGCUGCGGUAUAAGUAAGAAUAAAGCUAAAUACAUCAAACACGUUAUGUGUGUGUCUUUUAAGAAUUGCUUUAUUAUUAUUAAAUUUCAGCUGACCUCAAUCUUACUGGUGUAUCAGACCUUGACUUCCUGAUGAACGAAAGUGUUCUGUUCUGUUCAAUGAAACAAUAAGUGCUGAAAUUAUGACGUUUCCAUUCGAUAAUAAUAGUUCAAGUAUAGAAAGUUAUGAUCCCCAGUCUAAGGUAACUUCUUCUGGUACACACAUUCUUUGCUAAGAUUAACACUAAUAAAUUAUUUCCUAAUCAAUACUAAACUACAGUCAGGACAUUUUUCUUUUAGCAAACAGUGACAACUCUUCAGAACAAUAAAUCCACAGAUGAUAAACAAGCAAUGGCUAUCAAUAUUGACAGAGAAGUUAAUGAUAAUAAUGAAGAAGACAUUAUAGUUCAGAAGAUCAAAGCAGUGAUCGGGCUAGCACUGGUUUGUCCAAACAUAAAAUCAAAAAACCAAAUAAAAGGCUAGAAAAAAAGAAACUAAAGAGUUCUGGUGUAAAUAAAGCAGUAAAGCCAAAUCCAUGUGCUGGGAAAAAAUGUCAGAAUAAUUGUAAAUCAGUAAGUGAAACUGACAGAAAGCAAAUAUUUAAUGCCUAUUAUGAACUUGAGACCUAUGAAGAAAAGAAAAGUUGGCUAAUUCAAUGUAUGAAGCAAAAAGAAAUAGAAAGAAAACGUACCAAGAAUAAUAAUUCCAAGCGAUAAAAAACUAUAGAAUAUAACUUAACAGUAGAAGGAGAACAAAAAAGAGUUUGUCAGCAGUUCAUACUAAAAACCCUGGAUAUCAGUCAAAUGUUUUGGCGACAAACCAUAAACAAUGUUUCUAAGACAGGAAUGAUUAAAAAAGACUCGCGAGGUCGCUGUGCACCAAAAAAUAAGACAUCUGAGCAAUCUAUUAAACAUGUCAAUGAUUUUAUUAAUAAAAUACCAGUGGUGCCAUCCCAUUAUUGCCGCUCCCAAACAAAGAAACUUUACAUGCUCUCUGAAAUUGGAAAUUUUUCAAAUCUAUACAGAUUGUAUAAGGAAGAUUGUAAAAUGCAAAAAAUGGAUCCAGUGAGCAGAGCAACGUUUUUAAGGAUUUUUUAAGGUUACAAUCUAGGCAUUCAUGUAAAAAAAAAGAUAAAUGCAGUCUUUGUGAAAGGGUCCUAAGUACAGGCGAAAAAAAUGUAGAAGCAGCAGGUUUAGAAAACUAUCUGCGUUAUAGAGAAGAGAUAAAAAAUAGUCGUGAUAAAUUUAAAAAAGAUCAAGAAAAUUGCGACCCGAAUUUCAUGUGUGCAUCUUUUGAUCUACAGAAGGUGUUAACUACGCCACACGGAAACAGUAUACUUUUAUAUUAUGCUCGUAAAUUAGCUGUUUACAAUUUCACGGUAUAUGAAAGUAUAACAAAAAACGGUUUUUGUUUCCUGUGGAACGAGACUUUGGGAAAAAAAGGUUCAAACGAAGUUUGCACUGCCCUACAAAAAUACCUUGAACUUUUGGAUCAACGUAUUUCUCCUGAAAUAUCCGAACUUUCCCUGUACUGCGAUAAUUGCAGUGGACAAAAUAAAAACAAACAAUGCAAUGCAAUUUGGCAAUGAUUAACACAUUUCGUAAAACAUCUAUUCACAUACAAAAAAUCACAUUAAACUAUCUAAUUGCCGGUCAUACAUACAUGCCUGUUGAUUCUAUGCAUUCCACUAUAGAAUCAUUUAUAUCAAAAAGAACCAUUUACGCACCUUCAAUGUGGAAAUCUGCUAUAAGUCUUGCAAGGCACACACCCGGACCAUAUUUCGUCAAUUUAUUAAACUAUGACAAUUUUCUGAACUAUUCAAUCAUUGCAAAAGAGGUUUCUAAUUUUUUCCCAGUAUGUUGAAGACACAGAAACUACUGAACAACCUGAAUCAAUUUUAAAGAAAAAACGAGCUAAAACUAGAAGCAAAAAACCUAAAUUAGUCCAAGGUAAGCCUCUUCAAAUUUCCAAAAUUCGGGUGGUAAAAAUGGAAGCAGAAAAUCCAAAAUACAUGACAGUUCAGUAUAGUUAUUUGCAAGGGUUGCCAAUGAACAGCACUUUACUAUUAAAAAUGACGGAAAGCCCCUUAAUAAAUGCCACACUUCCCUACUGCCGAUAUCGGCGGCUAAAUACAAAGAUCUCAGCAAAUUAUGUUUGCAGUCAGCUAUUCCAAAGGACUAUCAUACCGAAUUCAUUAGUCUGCCACAUUCGCAGGACAUUAUAGACGUAUUACCGGACACAGAUGAAGAGGACGAAGGCGUUUAAUUUAUUAUUAUUUUUUGAAAUGUUUUGUUUAAUGUUGCUGCUGUUACUGUCGUUUUUUUAAAAUAAAGAUACCAUGACUGUAAUAAAAUCUAAUUAUUUUAAUUUGGUGCUUACGAUAUUAUAAAAAUAAUUCGCAAGUUAUUUUGAUACAAGCAACAUAAAAAAUAUUUUAAGCUUCAUGGAAUUCCCAAAACGCAUUUUUAAAAUAUCAUAAGCGACCUUUAUUUAACAUAAUAUUAAUAGUUUUUGGAAAUUGGCUUUAAAAUAAUAAAACAAUACCUCUUCCCCAUACAUCCUUCACAACAAAACAAAAAUUUAUUAAAAAUAAUGAAAAAUAAACGUUUUUUGCGUUUCCUGUAAAAUUACUAAAAUGGCGAAGAUAUUUUGCCUGGACAGUGACGAUAUGAACGUUUGAAUUUAGGUAGUGAAUUGUCAUUAUCAAUUUUUUUAGGUUGGACCUUUGACACUUCGAAUCAGUUGUUUUUUUUUUGACAGCAGAGGGGAAAUACUUGUUAGUUAAUGUAAUUAUAUCGAAUAAUAUAUUUGCUUACUAAUUCGGCAUGUUUCAAGUUUAACCUUUACGUGUGAUAUAAAUGAUAUGAUAUAGAUGAUAUAAUGAUAAUUAUAGCUACAAUUUAAGGUAUUGAUACCGAUGGUAAACUUUUGACAUUUCGAAUAAGCUGUAUUAUUUUUUGAACAAGCACAGAGAGCACACACAUUUUGACUCAAUUUUUUUAUUGAUUUGACAGAUAUCUUCAAUUUAGCAUAUUUUAAUAAUUUUUGCAAUUCUAGUCACAUUGAAUGGAUCGUAAAAAAGUAAAAUAUUCACAAAAUUCACCAAAAUAUUAUAUGAACAGAGUUUCGUACAAAUGUACUAAAACACCAACAAUAACCAAUUGCUUGAUGCAAAAAAUGACAGUUCCAAAUUGGUACUAGGGUUGGGCAGUAAUAUAAUUAAGACAGUUACUAGUAGUAUGGUCCGUUGUUAAGCAUUUUUAAAGUUAAGUAAAGUCAAUUGAAAUAUUUUAUAUUUUAAGUCGGGUUCUCAAGAAAAAGUAUCAUGUACUAAAUUUGACAGUACUUUAGCAAAAAUACACUACCUAGUACAAAUUACGCAACGCGGGGUCUUUGACAGAUACCAGUGCCUGUCAAAAGAGCAAAAUGACUUUUAAAUUGUUACUAGAGCUGGACUGAAAGAAGUUUUUCUUUAUGUACCAACAAUAUCGAUAUUUUAAUAUUUAUAAGGCAAUUGUCCAAAUUUACAAAGAAAACGAAAUUUUAAUUGCCC